rnacentral:rRNA from 1 species
UACGUAGGGACCAAGCGUUGUUCGGAUUUACUGGGCGUAAAGGGCGCGUAGGCGGCUUAACAAGUCACUUGUGAAAUCUCUGAGCUUAACUCAGAACGGCCAAGUGAUACUGCAGUGCUAGAGUGUGGAAGGGGCAAUCGGAAUUCUUGGUGUAGCGGUGAAAUGCGUAGAUAUCAAGAGGAACACCUGAGGUGAAGACGGGUUGCUGGGCCAACACUGACGCUGAGGCGCGAAAGCCAGGGGAGCAAACGGG